rnacentral:rRNA from 1 species
GACGAACGCUGGCGGCGUGCUUAACACAUGCAAGUCGAACGGAAAGGCCCUGCUUUUGUGGGGUGCUCGAGUGGCGAACGGGUGAGUAACACGUGAGUAACCUGCCCUUGACUUUGGGAUAACUUCAGGAAACUGGGGCUAAUACCGGAUAGGAGCUCCUGCUGCAUGGGGGGGGUUGGAAAGUUUCGGCGGUUGUGGAUGGACUCGCGGCUUAUCAGCUUGUUGGUGGGGUAGUGGCUUACCAAGGCUUUGACGGGUAGCCGGCCUGAGAGGUUGACCGGCCACAUUGGGACUGAGAUACGGCCCAGACUCCUACGGGAGGCAGCAGUGGGGAAUAUUGCACAAUGGGCGGAAGCCUGAUGCAGCAACGCCGCGUGCGGGAUGACGGCCUUCGGGUUGUAAACCGCUUUCGCCUGAGACGAAGCGUGAGUGACGGUAAUGGGUAAAGAAGCACCGGCUAACUACGUG